GAAAUGCGAUAAGUAGUGUGAAUUGCAGAAUUUAGCGAAUCAUCGAAUCUUUGAACGCACAUUGCGCCCCUUGGUAUUCCAUGGGGCAUGCCUGUUCGAGCGUCAUUUCAACCCUCAAGCACUGCUUGGUGUUGGGCGUUUGUCCCGCCUACGCGCGUGGACUCGCCUCAAAGUCAUUGGCAGCUGUUCCCCUUCGGCUCGUAAGCGCAGCACAGUCGGCGCCUGGAGCUCUGGUGGGAUGGCGUCCAGCAAGCUAUAUUUUCAGGCUUGACCUCGGAUCAGGUAGGGAUACCAGCUGAAGUGAAGC
rnacentral:misc_RNA from 1 species